UAGGGUCAAGUGACUAAGUGCAUGUGGUGGAUGCCUUGGCGAUUACAGGCGACGAAGGACGUGAUAGCCUGCGAUAAGCUUCGGGGAGCUGGCAAAUUAGCUUUGAUCCGGAGAUUUCCGAAUGGGGAAACCCACUCCGCAAGGAGUAACUCUGACUGAAUACAUAGGUCAUUGUGGCGAACCGGGUGAACUGAAACAUCUCAGUAGCUCGAGGAAAAGACAUCAACCGAGAUUCCGAAAGUAGUGGCGAGCGAAAUCGGAGUAGCCCUCGCGUUUUAGCAGUUUGUAUAUCAGAACGGAAUGGAAAGUCCGGCCACAGCGGGUGAUAGCCCCGUAUGAGAAAUGCAGAUUGUGGAACUAGGCGCGAAUAGAGUAGGGCGGGACACGUGAAAUCCUGUCUGAAUAUGGGGGGACCAUCCUCCAAGGCUAAAUACUCGUAAUCGACCGAUAGUGAACAAGUACCGUGAGGGAAAGGCGAAAAGAACCCCGGGAGGGGAGUGAAAUAGAUCCUGAAACCGCAUGCAUACAAAAAGUCGGAGCCCGCAAGGGUGACGGCGUACCUUUUGUAUAAUGGGUCAGCGACUUACAUUCAGUGGCGAGGUUAACCGAAUAGGGAAGCCGUAGAGAAAUCGAGUCCGAAUAGGGCGAAUAGUCGCUGGGUGUAGACCCGAAACCAAGUGAUCUAUCCAUGGCCAGGAUGAAGGUACCGUAACAGGUGCUGGAGGUCCGAACCGACUAGUGUUGCAAAACUAGCGGAUGAGCUGUGGAUAGGGGUGAAAGGCUAAACAAACUUGGAAAUAGCUGGUUCUCUCCGAAAACUAUUUAGGUAGUGCCUCAAGUAUUACCUGCGGGGGUAGAGCACUGUUUAGGCUAGGGGGUCAUGGCGACUUACCAAACCUAUGCAAACUCCGAAUACCGCAGAGUACAGCUUGGGAGACAGAGCACCGGGUGCUAACGUCCGGACUCAAGAGGGAAACAACCCAGACCGCCAGCUAAGGUCCCUAAAAUUGGCUAAGUGGGAAACGAAGUGGGAAGGCUAAAACAGUCAGGAUGUUGGCUUAGAAGCAGCCAUCAUUUAAAGAAAGCGUAAUAGCUCACUGAUCGAGUCGUCCUGCGCGGAAGAUGUAACGGGGCUAAGCCAGUUACCGAAGCUGCGGAUGCAUAGCAAUAUGCGUGGUAGGAGAGCGUUCUGUAAGCCUGUGAAGGUGGGUUGUGAAGCCUGCUGGAGGUAUCAGAAGUGCGAAUGCUGACAUGAGUAGCGUUAAAGGGGGUGAAAAGCCCCCUCGCCGAAAGCGCAAGGUUUCCUACGCAACGUUCAUCGGCGUAGGGUGAGUCGGCCCCUAAGGCGAGGCAGAGAUGCGUAGCUGAUGGGAAACAGGUCAAUAUUCCUGUACCGAUCAAUAGUGCGAUGUGGGGACGGAGAAGGUUAGCUCAGCCAACUGUUGGAUAUGUUGGUUCAAGCGUGUAGUCGUGCUCUUUAGGCAAAUCCGGAGAGCUUAGAUGAGGCGUGAUAACGAGUCUGCUUGCAGACGAAGUGAGUGAUACCCUGCUUCCAAGAAAAGCCACUAAGCUUCAGCUAUUGACGACCGUACCGCAAACCGACACUGGUGCGCGAGAUGAGUAUUCUAAGGCGCUUGAGAGAACUCUGGAGAAGGAACUCGGCAAAUUGACACCGUAACUUCGGAAGAAGGUGUGCCUUUAGUAGGUGAACCU
rnacentral:rRNA from 1 species